rnacentral:lncRNA from 1 species
GACCUCUCUCCCCAAUAGUUUCAGAAAAAAAAUGUUAUUUCGUUCUAUAGGGAUUCAGAAACAAUGUUUUCUUUUUAUUUAUUUCUUUAGGGAUUCAGAAGCAAUGUUCUUUCUUUCUUUGUUUAGGGAUUCACUUCUUUUUCUUUCUUUGUUUAGGGAUUCACUUCUUUUUCUUUCUUUCUUUAGGGAUUCAGAAACAGUUGCUGGUGCCGUUCGAUCUCGUCCUAACAAAUGAAUGAACGACCUUAGCAAAAAUUCAAGAUGAGUGCAUCCAAGCUACCUACCUCCUGUGCUGUACUUCUCUGUUGUUGGACCAAACGCUAACCCCUCCCUACUCACUCACUCAAUCAGCUCAAGCAGUGCAGCCACCAAACAUGGAUGGAUACCACACAGAACAAAUUAUAGGGGCCGCUUGAUGACUCGGCAUACAUCGGAACAAAUUAGAGCGCAAACCAUGCAUCAUCGCCUUUUGACCCCCCACGAUCGGUCUAUAAAGCACGAAACGAUGUUGCUAUGUGUGCACCUACAGUUUUAGGAAUGAAUGGAUGUCUGUGCAGGUUGUUAGAGUGGAGUGUUCUAGUGAAAGAAGGAACCAAAUCUCUUUUGUGUCUGGUCCACGCAUAGAGAUCAACACAAGCAUGACAUCACCACGCGACGGAGGAAUUGAUUAAAGCAUGAUGAAGUAUAUCCCAAGGAAACUUUGCCU